rnacentral:rRNA from 1 species
UACGGAGGGUGCGAGCGUUGUCCGGAAUCACUGGGCGUAAAGGGCGCGUAGGCGGCGCGGGGAGUCAACGGUGAAAGCUCGGCGCUCAACGCCGAGUCGGCCGUCGAUACUCCCGUGCUCGAGCACUGUAGAGGCAGGUGGAAUUCCGGGUGUAGCGGUGGAAUGCGUAGAGAUCCGGAAGAACACCGGUGGCGAAGGCGGUGAGCUGGGCAGUAGCUGACACUGAGGCGCGACAGCGUGGGGAGCAAACAGG